rnacentral:lncRNA from 1 species
AGCAGCUCCAGCCUGAGAGGCACCGGCAGUCUCAGCUAAGGGGUCGUGGGGACAGAACAGGGAUGUGGUUCUCCCAAUCUCUUGAUGACCAGCCUGGUUCUGUGGCCCUCAGAAGUCUCUGUAGAAUUUAGGCCUAUAUACAACCGGGAGAACUCUCUGAAAAUCCAGCAGCUGGGUUACAGGGGUUUGGACUGGUUUCCAAGGAAACAGAAGCCCCCACCCCACCCCCAGAGAGGCCCAAGGUAUAGUGGGAGACACUGGCCCUUAGAGCUGAAGGGCCCAGGGUGGGGGAGGAAGAGGCCACAUGGGAAGAGGGCAGGAAGGGGGAUUUGGCACGGGCCUCUGCUGCCUGGUCUCAAUUUACUUGUGAGGAACCCCCUAAUAGCCGGGUGAGAGCCGUGUGCGCUUUCCUGAGAGCCUGCUAAGUGUUUAUGGAAUGAUUUGUGAGGAGAAGUUUCUUUGGAAGCAGCUUGGGGAAGGACUCUAAUGCACCCUAGCGUUUCCAGGAAUAUAGUCACCCUUCAACCUAGGAAGACUUUUCUGUGUUCAGAACAUCUUUGAGAUUGGUUUGACAUUCCUGGCCCCCAGCCUGUGUGUAUAGAAACCACUGCCACAGUGAGCCUACAUACGCACCCAUCUGGUCCAUCCUCUAGAGCUGCCACCCCAGUGUGAAGAUGGUGACCUGUGUGUUUGUACAGGACAAGCUCCCCAAGAAGAUAUGACUUGCCAAGGUCACCUAGCCAGCAGGUAGUGGAGCCAGGACCCACAGCCAGGCUGUCUGACUCCCAGGUGGGCUCUUAACCCUACACUCUCGACCUUUCAAAGCCAAGAUGGUAUCUGUUCAGCCCUCCCUUGAGGAGUCUUAAUGUGUAGGUCAGAGCUGGAAAGGACUGGAUGAAUGACCUAAUCCUUGAUUCUCAGAACUUCAUCAGACCAGCCCUCCCCCACCACACAGCUACGUACCACCAGCCACUGGUCCAGAGAGGAGACUUGGACGCCUACUUUUUCUAAGGAGCCAUGUUUUGGCUGGCUUGUUUAUCAUUGUAGGUAGGGUCAGGCUAAAUAAUGGUGAUUUCAAUGCCAUUCCUGAGAGCCAAUGCUAUUGCUAUGGCUUUGAAACACAAACAGAAGAAGAAUCUAUUAGUCACCAAGGAGUGCAAUAAGCCUGUUGAGUAAUCAGCCUGCCGGCCUUGGUACCUAUGAACCACAAGGAUGAUAAAUGAAAUACCACAGACUUUGAGACUCUUGCAGAUUUGAAGAUGGCACCGUUUGGAAGCCAGGGUAUCCU